rnacentral:rRNA from 1 species
UACGUAGGGUACAAGCAUUAAUCGGGAUUAUUGGGCGUAAAGGGCGCGUGGGCGGAUAUAUAAGUCAGAUGUGAAAUACCAAAGCUCAACUUUGGUGCUGCAUCUGAAACUAUAAAUCUUGGGGAUUGACGGAGAAAGCGGAAUUCCACGUGUAGCGGUGAAAUGCGUAGAUACGUGGAGGAACACCGGUGGCUAAAGCGGAUUUCUAGUUUUUACCCGACGCUGAGGCGCGAGAGCAAGUGGGGCAAACAGG